UACGGAGGAUCCAAGCGUUAUCCGGAUUCAUUGGGUUUAAAGGGUGCGUAGGCGGAAUGAUAAGUCAGUGGUGAAAUCCUGCAGCUUAACUGCAGAACUGCCAUUGAUACUGUCAAUCUUGAGUACAUUUGAUGUGGGCGGAAUGUGUAAUGUAGCGGUGAAAUGCUUAGAUAUGACACAGAACACCGAGUGCGAAGGCAGCUCACAAAACUGUAACUGACGCUGAGGCACGAAAGCGUGGGUAUCAAACAGG
rnacentral:rRNA from 1 species